ACUCAAUCUGGUCCAGGAACCACUCAGCACAUGGCUGAUCCUGAAGAAGGUGUUUCCUACGCCUCCGUCAGCUACACCAAGAAGGCCAACAGUAAAGCCUGGGUUCACCGUGGUGGUGAUGAAGGUGAUGCAGUGACCUACAGCACUGUGAAAGCUUCCUCCUCGUCUGCCGGAGCCUCUGCAGAUCCCAGCAACCUCUACGCUACUGUCAACUAACGGACACA